AAAUAGAGCCGCUGGGGAGGAGGAGGAGGAGGAGCAUGAGACAGAGCGCUUUGAAAGGUAAGCUUCCAUGUUCAGCCCUGUGCGCCCUGAGAGUCUGCUUCCAUCUCUCCCGGCCCUGAGGGACCAGCUCCUUGGUCUAUAAGGAUGCCAGCAGCAGGGAACAGAAUCCUCAGCAAAGGAAAGCAGGAACCAGAUCCUUUUGCAGAAUGAAGCUGUGAGGAGCCUGGGAAAGGGCCUGACCCAGCAGGGGCGUGUGGGCUGUCUUGGACCAGGAGUGCCUGGAUUGGGAGGUGGAUCCUCCAGAUUGGACUGAGAACAAGUGGUUUCACAUGGCUGGGAUUCCUCUGUGAGGUCUCCCUGCUCCCUCCCCCCCACCUCCGCACAUCCAGGGAGCUUGUGAGGGCGGCCAGGGGUAAUAGAUAUGGAAGCACUUUGCCAAUGAGAAAACUGUCUGGGAGCUUCUCCAUCACUGUCAGGAUUUGUGUGGCCUUGGACACUGGUGCUUGGGUUCCAGUCUCCCAAAAGUGUCCCUAAAGGGACCAGCCUCCUGUAAAACCCUCAUGCCCUUGCCUUCACCACCAUGACCCAUGUCCUGAUUUCCAGCCUGCAGAGAUGGCCUGCGACAGCUGGGACAGGUUUGGGGCCUGAUGGCACAUCUGCAAAGGUAAAGAAUCUUUCCUUUCUCUCCUGGGUUCUCCUUCCUUCCAGGGCUCAGGGUGUGACCCUAGGGCUGCAGGCAGCCUGGGGCUGACCUGGGAGGGGGAGCCAUGGCAGCAGGGUUCAGCUCAAGCCCCAAGGGGAGGGACAACAGGUGCACUGUGAAGUCAGCGUGGGGGCUGUGGGGGCCCUGCCUUGGCUCUGUCGGCUCCUGCCUAGAGCUUGUGCCUCUUGUCUCCUGCAACCACCUGUGCAGAGUCCCUGAGAGGGGCCACUUUCACUGCUAUUCACGUCCAGACCCCCUUGGCGAGGUGUGCCAGGCAGUGCCCGCUGGAGCCCAGCAGCCAUGCAGGGAGCCUGCACUAGAGGCUGUUCCUACCAUGCCCCCAUCAGCUUCCCCGGCUCCUCUGACCCAGAGCCCUCCCCCUCUGGCCUCCAUCCUGGCAGCAGACCCUCAAGACCAAUGCAACAUCAAGAGCAUCCCACAGGGUCCUGCCGCAAAGUGCUCACCUCCAGGUAACUCCUUUUGGGCAUCUACCAUCCCAGCCAUCUGGGUCUUGGCCUCGCCAGCUGUCCCAUGUCAUUCCUGUCAUGCUGGUGGGAGACCACCAAGGCCUUAUUCUUCCCCACCUCAUCCAAGCAGGAGGCCCAGCAAGAGCCCACCUCACCAGAGGCC
rnacentral:lncRNA from 1 species